rnacentral:rRNA from 1 species
GACGAACGCUGGCGGCGUGCUUAACACAUGCAAGUCGAACGGAAAGGCCCUGCUUUUGUGGGGUGCUCGAGUGGCGAACGGGUGAGUAACACGUGAGUAACCUGCCCUUGACUUUGGGAUAACUUCAGGAAACUGGGGGUAAUACCGGAUAGGAGCUCCUGCUUCAUGGUGGGGGUUGGAAAGUUUCGGCGGUUGGGGAUGGACUCGCGGCUUAUCAGCUUGUUGGUGGGGUAGUGGCUUACCAAGGCUUUGACGGGUAGCCGGCCUGAGAGGGUGACCGGCCACAUUGGGACUGAGAUACGGCCCAGACUCCUACGGGAGGCAGCAGUGGGGAAUAUUGCACAAUGGGCGGAAGCCUGAUGCAGCAACGCCGCGUGCGGGAUGACGGCCUUCGGGUUGUAAACCGCUUUCGCCUGUGACGAAGCGUGAGUGACGGUAAUGGGUAAAGAAGCACCGGCUAACUACGUG